UACGAAGGGGGCUAGCGUUGUUCGGAAUCACUGGGCGUAAAGGGCGCGUAGGCGGCUAAUCAAGUCGGGGGUGAAAGCCUGUGGCUCAACCACAGAAUUGCCUUCGAUACUGUUUGGCUUGAGACCGGAAGAGGACAGCGGAACUGCGAGUGUAGAGGUGAAAUUCGUAGAUAUUCGCAAGAACACCAGUGGCGAAGGCGGCUGUCUGGUCCGGUUCCGACGCUGAGGCGCGAAAGCGUGGGGAGCAAACAGG
rnacentral:rRNA from 1 species